GUACACGCUGUGACUAGCAUAUCAAUAAGCGGAGGAAAAGAAACUAACAAGGAUUCCCCUAGUAACGGCGAGUGAAGCGGGAAGAGCUCAAAUUUGAAAUCUUAAAGGGUUUCCCUUUACGAAUUGUAGUUUAAAGAAGUGUUUUCUGUUGAGGUUUUGAUAAAAGUUCUUUGGAAUAGGACAUCAUAGAGGGUGAGAAUCCCGUAUUUGACCUUUACUUUCAACUUUGUGAUACACUUUCAAAGAGUCGGAUUGUUUGGGAAUGCAGUCCAAAAUGGGUGGUAAAUUUCAUCUAAAGCUAAAUAUUGGCGAGAGACCGAUAGCGAACAAGUACCGUGAGGGAAAGAUGAAAAGAACUUUGAAAAGAGAGUUAAACAGUACGUGAAAUUGUCAAAAGGGAAGCGUUUGACACCAGUGUUGUUUUUCUGAAAAUCAAUUAAAGAACUGUUUAUGCUAAGCUUGUUUAGACUUUAUCAGCUAUCUGUUUAGUUUUGAGCUUUUCUUUAAUGCACUUUUCAGUUAACAAGUCAACAUCAAUUUCUUUUGCUGUAAAAAAGCUUGAGGAAGGUGGCUUGAGAUUCGUCUUAAGUGUAUAUAGCCUCUUGCCUAUGCAGUCGGAGAGAUUGAGGUCUGCAGCGUAGAAUCCUUCGGGGCUAAAUGCAUUUGUGCUAAGUUAUAGCAUUUUAUAGACAACUUGUUGACUAUGAUUUGUCUUGUAGCUUACUCGCUUAUGUUAUUUUACCUACGCUUAGGAUGUUGACGCGCGUGUGUGCGUG
rnacentral:rRNA from 1 species